rnacentral:rRNA from 1 species
GAUGAACGCUGGCGGCGUGCCUAAUACAUGCAAGUCGAGCGAACGGACGCGAAGCUUGCUUCUCUGAUGUUAGCGGCGGACGGGUGAGUAACACGUGGAUAACCUACCUAUAAGACUGGGAUAACUUCGGGAAACCGGAGCUAAUACCGGAUGAUAUUUUGAACCGCAUGGUUCAAAAGUGAAAGACGGUCUUGCUGUCACUUAUAGAUGGAUCCGCGCUGCAUUAGCUAGUUGGUAAGGUAACGGCCUACCAAGGCAACGAUGCAUAGCCGACCUGAGAGGGUGAUCGGCCACACUGGAACUUAGACACGGUCAAGACGCCUACGGAGGGAAGCAGAAGGGAAUCUUCGGCAAUAGGCGAAAGCCUGACGGAGCAACGCGGCGUGUGUGAUGAAGGUCUUCGGAUCGUAAAACUCUGUUAUUAGGGAAGAACAUAUGUGUAAGUAACUGUGCACAUCUUGACGGUACCUAAUCAGAAAGCCACGGCUAACUACGUG